AUUGAACGCUGGCGGAAUGCUUUACACAUGCAAGUCGAACGGUAGAGGGGGCAACCCCUCGAGAGUGGCGAACGGGUGAGUAAUAUAUCGGAACGUGCCCAGUCGUGGGGGAUAACGUAGCGAAAGUUACGCUAAUACCGCAUACGAUCUAAGGAUGAAAGCGGGGGAUCGCAAGACCUCGCGCGAUUGGAGCGGCCGAUAUCAGAUUAGGUAGUUGGUGGGGUAAAGGCUCACCAAGCCAACGAUCUGUAGCUGGUCUGAGAGGACGACCAGCCACACUGGAACUGAGACACGGUCCAGACUCCUACGGGAGGCAGCAGUGGGGAAUUUCGGACAAUGGACGCAAGUCUGAUCCAGCCAUUCCGCGUGCAGGAUGAAGGCCCUCGGGCUGUAGACUGCUUUUGUACGGAACGAAAAGGUCUCUCUUAAUACGGGGGACUCAUGACGGUACCGUAAGAAUAAGCACCGGCUAACUACGUGCCAGCCGCCGCCGUAA
rnacentral:rRNA from 1 species